rnacentral:misc_RNA from 1 species
UACGGAGGUGGCAAGCGUUACUCGGAAUUAUUGGGUGUAAAGGGCAAGUAGGCGGCCUGUUAAGUGAGGGGUGAAAUCUUCCGACUCAAUUGGAAAACUGCCUUUCAAACUAACAGGCUUGAGGAUGACAGGGGGAAGCGGAAUUCUCGGUGUAAGGGUGAAAUCUGUAGAUAUCGAGAAGAACACCUGCGGCGAAGGCGGCUUCCUGGGUCAUCCCUGACGCUGAACUGCGAAAGCUAGGGGAGCAAACAGA